rnacentral:rRNA from 1 species
CCAGACUCCUACGGGAGGCAGCAGUGGGGAAUAUUGCACAAUGGGGGGAACCCUGAUGCAGCGACGCCGCGUGGGUGAAGGAGUACUUCGGCACGUAAAGCCCUAUCAGCAGGAAAGAAAAUGACGGUACCUGAAUAAGAAGCCCCGGCUGACUACGUGCCAGCAGCCGCGGUAAUACGUAGGUGGCAAGCGUUGUCCGGAUUUACUGGGUGUAAAGGGCGGGUAGACGGGCUGACAAGUCAGAUGUGAAAUCCGGGGGCUCAACCCCCGAACUGCAUUUGAAACUGUUGGUCUUGAGUAUCGGAGAGGCAGGCGGAAUUCCUAGUGUAGCGGUGAAAUGCGUAGAUAUUAGGAGGAACACCAGUGGCGAAGGCGGCCUGCUGGACGACAACUGACGGUGAGGCGCGAAAGCGUGGGGAGCAAACAGGAUUAGAUACCCCGGUAUA